rnacentral:rRNA from 1 species
AGAGUGAACGCUGGCGGUAGGCCUAACACAUGCAAGUCGAACGGCAGCACGGUAAGAGCUUGCUCUUAUGGGUGGCGAGUGGCGGACGGGUGAGGAAUACAUCGGAAUCUACCUUUUGGUGGGGGAUAACGUAGGGAAACUUACGCUAAUACCGCAUACGCCCUUCGGGGGAAAGCCGGGGACCAGCAAUGGCCUGGCGCUGAUAGAUGAGCCGAUGUCGGAUUAGCUAGUUGGUGAGGUAAUGGCUCACCAAGGCGACGAUCCGUAGCUGGUCUGAGAGGAUGAUCAGCCACACUGGAACUGAGACACGGUCCAGACUCCUACGGGAGGCAGCAGUGGGGAAUAUUGGACAAUGGGCGCAAGCCUGAUCCAAGCCAUACCGCGUGGGUGAAAGAAGGCCUUCGGGUUGUAAAGCCCGUUUUAGUUGGGUAAAGAAAAGACAAUUCGGUUAAUUACCCGGUAGUUCCUGUACGGUACCCAAAGAAUAAAGACAACCGGCUAAACUUCGUAGUCCAGCAAGCCG